rnacentral:rRNA from 1 species
UACAGAGGGUGCGAGCGUUGUUCGGAAUUACUGGGCGUAAAGCGCGCGCAGGCGGCCUUUUAAGUCUCGUGGUGAAAUGCCGGGGCUCAACCCCGUGCCCGCCGGAGAUACUGGGAGGCUGGAGACGAGUAGAGGCAAGCGGAAUUCCGGGUGUAGCGGUGGAAUGCGUAGAGAUCCGGAAGAACACCGGAGGCGAAGGCGGCUUGCUGGGCUCAGUCUGACGCUGAGGCGCGAAAGCUAGGGGAGCAAACGGG